rnacentral:lncRNA from 1 species
GGAGGCCCCGUCUGAACGAAUUAGAAAGGGGGCAGAGACCCUGCGAUGCAGGUAGAGUUCGUUUUCCUCUGUGUCCAAGGGCAACGCCUGGCAAAAGGACCCUGUCGGAACCCUUCUGGUUGGGGUGCAGAUUGGUUCGAACUGAAUGGGAGCGUUCGAAAAGGUCGAGCUUGAACCAGGCGCCCUCGCUGUUCCAAAACAGAGCCCGGAUUCGAACUGAACCCGGAUUCUAACAAACCUGGCGAACGGACCCUGUUUGAUGAGAGUUCAAAUGUUUCCAGAUCAAACCAAACACAUUACUAUGUGAAGAAAAACAUCUGAAAUCGAACCGAACACAUACAAAAAUGUUCAGUUGCUGCUGCUCUAGAAUACCCCACCUGCCUCUUUUCAAGCUGGGCCUUACCGCCACCUUGAUUUUCUCAGUCCCCUUCUUAACCUCAAGGGCUUUUGUUGGGGGGGGGGAGAAUAGUUGCUUGCAGCUGGUUCCCUGGAAGCUGCCCUAGAGGCAGCGGGAUGGCUUGUUCCCAAACAACAAAACCCCUGGCUUUGGAACUGGACUCUCCUCCAGCAAAUAACUAAAAAUAAUCAGAAACCCGAGUAGCGUGUGAAAAACCCUCCAGCGACAGGACUUCCUCUUGCCCCUCCCUCCUCCAUCCAUCUUCCCACCCCCCCAUUUCCCACCCAGACCCAGCAAGGAGGAGGCUUCCCUUUGCCNUGCUGCAGCCUGAUCCCCACGUUUCCUGGCUGAAAGCUGCUCGCCUCUUCCACACCUGCGCUCUGCAAUCAGUUCACAUCGGCUCCUAAAUCUAACCGAAUCCAAAAAUAUUAAAACCAGGGCCCAUCUGUUGUCCAACUGAUGGGAGCAGAUGUGCUGAGGAUUUCAGAGGCUGGCUGGCAACCAUUCAAAACUGUCAGAACUUGCACCUGCUGCACCAUUACAGUUCCCCUUUUUUUGAUUUAAUCCCUCGUUUUCUCCCCCCUCCUUUUUGCAGAGGAGNGGGGGAGGAAUCCUCACCCACCCCACCCCCACGCCCCACCCCAGUUAGCUUUAGGAGAUGAGCAUGGCGUAAACAGAUCUUGUAAUUCCCCCUCGGACAUGCUGGUUCUGUGAACAGCUCUCUGCAUCAGCAUGGAGACACAGAUAGGAAAA